rnacentral:tRNA from 2 species
CGUGCGCUGGGCGAGCACAUCGUGCCGGCCGUGACCGCCGCGGCCGAGGCUGCGGGCCGUCCCGCGCCGCGGAUCGUGGCCCUGGUGUACGGC